AGGUUCCUUAGCUUAAUAGGUAAAGCGCAUUCUUGAUAAGGAUGUGAUCGACGUUCAAUUCGUUGAGGAAUCA
rnacentral:tRNA from 1 species